rnacentral:rRNA from 1 species
UACGAAGGGUGCAAACGUUGCUCGGAAUUAUUGGGCGUAAAGCGCACGUAGGCGGCAUUGCAAGUCCUAUGUGAAAGCCCACGGCUUAACCGUGGAAGUGCAUGGGAAACUGCAGUGCUUGAGUACUUAAGAGGAUCGCGGAAUUCCCGGUGUAGAGGUGAAAUUCGUAGAUAUCGGGAGGAACACCAGUGGCGAAGGCGGCGAUCUGGGAAGAUACUGACGCUGAGGUGCGAAAGCGUGGGGAGCAAACAGG